GAUGAACGCUGGCGGCGUGCCUAAUACAUGCAAGUCGAGCGAAUGGAUUGAGAGCUUGCUCUUAUGAAGUUAGCGGCGGACGGGUGAGUAACACGUGGGUAACCUGCCCAUAAGACUGGGAUAACUCCGGGAAACCGGGGCUAAUACCGGAUAACAUUUUGAACCGCAUGGUUCGAAAUUGAAAGGCGGCUUCGGCUGUCACUUAUGGAUGGACCCGCGUCGCAUUAGCUAGUUGGUGAGGUAAUGGCUCACCAAGGCAACGAUCCGUAGCCGACCUGAGAGGGUGAUCGGCCACACUGGGACUGAGACACGGCCCAGACUCCUACGGGAGGCAGCAGUAGGGAAUCUUCCGCAAUGGACGAAAGUCUGACGGAGCAACGCCGCGUGAGUGAUGAAGGCUUUCGGGUCGUAAAACUCUGUUGUUAGGGAAGAACAAGUGCUAGUUGAAUAAGCUGGCACCUUGACGGUACCUAACCAGAAAGCCACGGCUAACUACGUGCCAGCCGCCGCAGUAA
rnacentral:rRNA from 1 species